GUGGGUGUGGUGCAAUUGGUAGCAUACUGGUUUUGGGUACCAGAGAUUUUGCAGGUUCGAGUCCUGUCGCCCGCA
rnacentral:tRNA from 1 species